GGUCAGAGGGAUUCGCUCCACAUACAGAUGGCUCACAGUAUGAAAAUGGUAUGUGUAUAACAGGAUCUCGCUAUUGAGGUAAUUUCUUACUUCUUAAAUGCUGUGAACACUUAUACGUGAACAGAUCUUAUAUUCUUGCAUCAGGGGAAACAGCUUAUGAUGGAUCUCAAAUCGAGUCUCCAGGUGAUAAACAUCAAAGCUUACAUGCAGCUUACCAAAUAUUUUCUGUUAAAUGAUAAUUGAUGUCAUAAUCAUGUAAGUUUUAUCUUGUGCAUUUAGAAAUCCCUGAGAUAGAAUCUAACGGUAAUGGACACAAACAACUACUGAAUGGAGGAGAAACAGGAUUUACAGGCUUGGAUCAUUUCAUGCCAGGCACAUCUCAGAUACAGGGAGCCGGUAUAAAAACACAAUUUAAAAUCUGACCAUGGAAGAAUUCAUUUCUGAGAUAAAAAUAUACUUACAUUGUUUUCUGUCAAAAAAUUCAGUUCUUGUCAUGUAUGUUGCAGGUGGUUUUGAUUCAUUUGGCACAAGCCCUCAGCUGGAAAUUACAGGCAUAAUAGAUCAGUCAAGCCAUGACUUCCUUGUUGGCUUAAUGGGUGGAAUAGGAGAGACCUUUGGUCCAGACACUCAAACAGACGGGCUAGGUACGCUUUUAGACCUCUUAGACACUCCUCCAGACGUUCCACCCACAUGCCUAGUAACUGACGCUGUCUCAACAGAUCACAUGGGACUCGCAUUUCAGGUGGAUUCAGCAGCUGCUGGUCUGAGUCCAGGGCACCCGUCCAGUGGCGGUCCAGUUCUAGACGCUCCUCCAGACUCUCCCGGACCAGAUUACCUGUUUGUUGACAAUGGGAACGGUGAUUAUACCCAUUCAAUCAGUAUGUCUGAUAAUGGAGCCCAAUCAAAACCACCAGCUGAUACAACAGGUAAACUGAUGUUAAACAACAUCCUGCAUGCUCUGGUGGAAAGUGACUUGAAGCGCUGA
rnacentral:lncRNA from 12 species